UGCUUGACAAAUAUUUAUAGAGAGGUUCCUAGCCAGCUGUUAAAUCUAGAAUAUCUUAAGCACUGAUUGAAAGAGGCAUAUGGAUAAGUGCUGGCACCUGAGAAAUAAGA